rnacentral:snRNA from 1 species
GUGCUCACUUCAGCAGCACAUACACUAAAAUUGGAAUGAUACAGAGAUUAGCAUGGCCCCUGCGUAAGGAUGAUAUGAGAUUUGCGAAGUGUUCCAUAUUUUU